UAUCUAAGUAAGUAAGUGUGUUAGUUAGACAAUAACUAGAGGCAUUACAAACACAAAGGACAUAUAGUGGUUCGGUGCACCCCAGCACCUACAUCCACUCCCCAAGACCUCUUGGAAAUUUCACUAUAAUCCUACCGAUUACAGCCGGUUGUUUUACAAGCUCACAACCCAACUUGUUGUUUUACGAGGUCACAACGAACUCGGUCGGUUUUCCCAGGCUCACCGACUAGAACCACUCCGAUUGUUUUCCCGGGAUCACAAUCAAACCCUUACACGUUGGUUUUACCCUCGGCUCACCAACAAACCUAAGCCCCGUUGGUUUUCCCUUUGGCUCACCAACAAACCUUAAUCCCGUUGGUUUUCCCUUUGGCUCACCAACAAACCUUACACCGUUGGUUUUCCCUUUGGCUCACCAACAAACCUUUAACCCCUUGAUUCAAUCCCUUGAUUGAAUCAAGUUACAAGAUAUUAAAACAAAGAAUAAAAACAAAACAAAGCUUCUUAAACAAGCAAAUAUGACAAUAUAAACAAAUAGAGUAAAGAGAAGCCCUCAAACGAGUUUUGAAGAUGGAGGAGCUCGGCUUCUUCUUUACUUGAUCCUCCUCUGAUUUGGCAAGAAGUAGAGGAUCCCCGAGGCAGCACACGGAUGGAGAGGAAGCUUUCGGAUUCACUUGGAUGCUCUUCUUCUCUCUAUUUCG
rnacentral:lncRNA from 1 species